rnacentral:rRNA from 1 species
AGCCUACGGGAGGCAGCAGUAGGGAAUUUUCGGCAAUGGGGGGAACCCUGACCGAGCAACGCCGCGUGAAGGAAGAAGGAAUUCGUUCUGUAAACUUCUGUUAUAAAGGAAGAAAUGCGGAUGAAGGAAAUGACAUCCGAGUGACGGUACUUUAUGAGAAAGCCACGGCUAACUACGUGCCAGCAGCCGCGGUAAUACGUAGUUGGCAAGCGAUAUCCGGAAUUAUUGGUCGUAAAGAGGGAGCAGGCGGCAGCAAAUGUCUG